GGCCAGCGCGUUGGGCGAGGCGGGGCGGCGCGGAGCAGCCGUGUAACACGCUUUCAUUUCUGUAGAGAAAUAUCCAUGUGCUCCAUGCACGUCGCCGUUGCGCAUAAAGCAGAUGUUUUCUACAUGUUUAUUUAUUUAUUUGCUUGGUUCAGUGCCGUCCUGAUCCGCUGCUUGGGCUCCUCGGUGCUACCGCAGUGCAAACCUCCGUCCUGCACGUGAGCCUCGGAGCUGCUGCUGAAGAGGUGGAGCACGAUAGCAGUCUCCAAACACGGGUGUACAGCCUCUGGUAUCAAGAAGUGACAAACAGCACACCCAGUGACACCCACAGAGUGAAAACCUGUGCACGUAGCAGCCCGAAUGUGUUGGUAAGGUGCUCCCAGGUGCACCCAACCACUGCCCUCCAGCAGGUGCCAUCCAGCAGAUGGGAGCAGUUCUGGAGCAACACCUCAGAGAGCAGUUCCUGGAGGAAGCAUCGCUUCUUUCAGUGCCCAAAGCAUCAAAGUUGGUUGUACAGUACUGAAAGGAAACUAUUCACCCGUUCCAGGUCCAGAAAUCGACUCUGGAUGUCAUGGGACCACAUUGCUGCUGCAGAACCCACAGAAGAGGCAGAGGGGAAGUCUGAUGAAGCGAUUUUGGUUUCUGUAUGCUAAGAGUCGACUGGAAAACUCCUGUGUUGCCCUGACCUGCAAUACAACAACCUGCAGUCAGUUGAGACCUGAAGGGCAGGUGAUACGACGGGUAUUUUCACUUUAACAAGGUAAUCUUUGGAAGGAACUUCUUGGCUGUGCUUUAGGAUUUCUGGAACAGCACAGAGUGCGCUGAGUCAUGGAAACGCGGUGGGGACGAAGUCCAGCAGGAGUUACAGUGCAGAACUGAAGCUCAUUGCGUUUCCCACACAGCUGCUUUCCUGCAGCUCAACUACUGACUCAGUAAACAACAAAGCUUUCCUACCUGUGAGUAAUGUUAAAAAAAUGUGCCAAUGCUUAUUAAUCAUCUCUUACUUCAUCAUUAUCCAUGCUGAUUUACAUGAUAAUGAGUUAGUUGGGUACUGUAUUUCAGUAACUUGUACAAAUGUGCUCAGUGUGAAAUCCUGCUCACAGGUUAAGGAUUUCCAUGGACUUCAGCUGAAUCAGGAAUCAGAUGUCUGCUCCUGUCAAAGGACAGCCUUCCAAAGCUCGCUGCUGGCAGUUCAUCCAUGCAAAGCACAGAGCUUUAUGCACUUCAGUGCUGAAACGUCUGUAGCCAAAGUUUAGAUGGAACUUUUGUAAUAGCAUCCUAACUAUGCUAUUAAUGUGUUCCUUGCUUUUGCACCCUUCAGAUACUCAUCUACUCUAGUUAUUUCAUGCUGUAUUUAUUUAUUCAUUACUUAUUCUCAUGUCUAGCGCUCCGACUGUUUUAAUUACCUUACCUUAGUGUUUUGUUUUGCCAUUGCUCUGAUAAAGUUCUGUCUUCCUAUUUCACUUAUUGAAAGUAUCAGCAGUAGAAUACACCAAUUGGUGCAAAACUAUUGUAUCAGAACGGCAUCUCCAGUGUUACUGCACCAUCAGUGCUGAAGUGGAGAUGGUCUGAACAGCAGAAAUACUGUUCUGAUCACUGCCACCACCACUGCAACAGAAAGAGACUACUCAGACAUGUUGACUUUGCUUGUUUGCUUUGCAGUGGUAGCAUUAACUGCGGGAUCUCCUAUACUCUCCACAGUAGCUGCUUUUAACUUGACUCAGCAAAGGGAAAUGGAGGGAUAGUGCAUUUGUUCAAAACAUGAACUGAGGGAAGACUGUCCUGUGCUAUCUUUCUGUGCACUGGCUUCAGCAGCUGUGCAUCACCUGUUUCAUUGCUGCAUAAAUUAUACAGCAAUUUAGGUAGCAUAUGCCAGCUGAUGAAGUAAUAACCAGGGUGGCAUUACAUCAACCCCUAAAACCAGCUUCACAUCCUUUUUAUUAAAAAGAAAAAUAAAAGGUAAUGUAUCAGGGAAAGUCUUUGUACUUAUUUUGGUGUAAGGUGCACUUCAGUUUUAUGGACCAGGUCUUAGAAGCAUCAAUCACAGCUUAAAUGAGAAGAAAGUCAGUCGAAAAAGUACUAUUUGACAUUGUUUUGAAACUUCUUUUUACUGGGAAGUUCAUACUACGUCUCUUUCUUCUUCAUCCCUCUGCUUCUCUGCACUCAUCCUUCCUCAUUUUAGGCAGCUCUGCAAGAGCCACAGAAGGUUCCAGUUGUGCAUCAGGCUUCGUGUGUUACAGCAUUGCAGGCUGCUGGGAUCAACGCAGUGCUCUUUCACCUACUGAUGACAUACAUCUCCAAAGGUACUCUACUGAAGGGAGUAAUAAAUUCUUAAGGCAAUGCAAAAAGGUAAGUGUAGCAGAAAUGCUGUCACAGCCUGAACCAGUGAUUGAGCACCUGGUGGGAAGGCAGGACCAACCCAGGGAAGCUCAGGUGUAUGCAAUGCAAUGCAGUGCACCUGAGUGACUGGAAGGGAUGGAGCCAGGAUCCACCUCUUCCCGGAGGUCAUUUAAGGCUUGGCAGUGGAGGCAAGGGUAUCUUGCUGGAGGUUCCUGUCUACCUCAGGCUUUCUGUAGGUAAGCAGAGUCUUUUCUUUGUUUCUGUGUCUACAGCUGUGACAUUUGGUCAUGUGCUUAGUUGUUACAGCCUAGGACUUUGCUACUGUGGUGCUGCUGCUGUGCUUUCCAUUGCGUUACAUUAAGUGUAAGGCGAUGUGAACUCCCUUGAUAGAACUGGGAUUUGCAAUUGCAACUUUGAUCCUUCUCUGCUCUGGUUUUAUUGUUUAAAUAAUCAGCUCAAUUAUAUAUAAAGGUUUCAGUGCCAGAAGCAGUAUUUUUUUUUUUCAGUUAAGUUCUAUAUCAGAUAGGACCAUUUUGAUUCCUCAAAAUACAAUCCUUAGAAGCAGUAUGACUUGUAACAACUUUGUAUUUCAGUAAUCUUCAAAAUAGCAGCAUCUUAUUUCUGAUGUGUAUGAGCUCUCUUCAUGUUGCGGGUUUAACUGUCAAAAAACAAAAUUCCAGUAACACUGUACAUGCAGUAAGAACAAAUCUCAUUUAUUGUAUUGCAACAAAACAUGCACUGCCAUCUGAUGCUUCCAGUAGUUCCUGUCACAACUCGUCUUCACAGAUGACUUCAUAAAAUACACAACAGAUUGUUAAAUGAAAUCUGCUUUCUGGACUGAAUCCAGCUGUAUCGUCUGCUGGGGCCCUUAAACCUUAGCAGAGGUCUGAAAGCCACACCUGGCACUGAUGCUUCUGGAGCUGAGUGACAUGGUUUGGGAGUUCCAGCUGAACCCACUAAUAUUCAGUUGAACUUGGCAUACUUGUCUGUUUCAAUCAGUGUAUUUCAGACAUAUAUAUAUAUAUAUAUAUAUAUAUAUAUAUAUAUAUGAGGGAUAUAUAUCCAUACAUAUAUAUGGGAAAAAAAAAGAGGAUGUCUGAAAUACACUGAUAUAUAUGUAUAUCUCAGGUAUUUUACACAGACUGCUUGGUAAAUCCAAGAGAUGAUGGACUACCUGUAUGCACCUAUUACUGAGUCCAGCCUGCUGCUUGCCCAAAGGCAGCAAGAGCUGCUUUUUGGUGUAAGGAUGACAUGGCAUUGCAAAUGACUGGAUCAAGCAGUCCAGGAAUCUAAAUAUAAAUGAUAUGGUAGUUCUAAGUGCAAGUUGCUAACAUCUCUCUGUAAAGGUUUUUCCUUGCAUCUGUUCCCUCUGGUUGGAAGGAGGUCAAAUACAGAAGCACAAAGGAAAACCAAUGGUUAAGUAUGUAAACCUUUGCCAGCCACACAAACUAGCAGAGAACACCUUUCAAGCUAUAGUAAGACUAUCGUAUGGUGGAAUAUGCUCCUUAGGAGCUUUGUUAUCUAAAAGCUAUGCAGAAAUCUCAGUAAUUCUUGUGGCAACACUAUUUUAAUAUGGUGUCUGCCCCAAUCCUACGUCUGUAAGGCAGCACAGCAACUGUAACUCUUAAUGCAUUAAGUACAUAGGCUGUGAAUGUGGCACUAAGUGCCCAAAGUCUCUCUAGAAAUGAAAGUGUUUGCUAGUCAUGUUUUCUGGUAUAGAAAAUCUCAGCAGGUGUCGGGUUGCAUUCUACCAGGAAGAUGUCCAAGCUCACCUUCCUGCAUGGAGAGGCAGGGAACACAAACAAUUCUCCUGGGAUGUGGAUCACCACAGCAGCUAUAUUCUAUUUUCAGAGCUCUACUGGAAUGUUUCCAAGACCACCAUGACAAAACUGCUUCGGUAUGGGUGGUAAACAUGUCUCUACUGUUACUGCAGACUUUUCUGCUGUUUGCUAUGCAUUCUUUAGCUACUGUUUCUUGAGCGGAAGGAUUCUUUCUGCACUACCACCUCAUCCUUGGACCCCUCACUGGAUAUCCAUGUGGAAAAAGGCAAACAAAUCAUGUGCUCUGCUAAGCAGAUACCAUUUACAGGGUGGAACCUGCAGAUCAUCAAGGUAAGAAAUAAUCUGAUUGUUACAUGAGAGCUGAACCACAGCGUAAUUCCUUUCUAGUUCAAGCCUUGUCACUUAGUCAAGCUGCUUCGAAUUACAAUGGAGGAAAUGCCUGCACCUGCCGUGGGUGAGACAGCCCCUACUGAGCAGAUGAGGGGCAGGGGUUAGCAUCCUUAAAUCAAGAACUAAUGAACUGUUUUAAAAGAAUAAUGAUGAACUGAGUAUUAGCUGCCUUCCUUAAGGCUGCUUAUGUUAUAUAAGAGGGACCGUAUAUGACAUGGCAGUAUCUCUUUCCACCAUCUGCUUACAGUACACUGAAAGCAUAUGGAGAUACUAAUCCCAAAAUUCAGGUACUUUUACCUAAAUAGCACUUGGGAGUCCAUGAAGAGGGGUUCUGUUUUUAACAUUUUCUGAUCAGGUGCCUUUUUUCAAUGUUGAGAUGUUUACAACUUCAGUCAAACUAAUAAAUUAAAAGCUACGUGUACUUUUUGUCUUCAAACGUAUACUGUUAAAAGAGAGCCAGCAGCACUGACAGUAACAUGAAAUGUUAUAUUCACAGGACAGAUAUGUGCACAUCAAGCCUAAAACUUGCAUAUUAUACCAAACUGAACAUUAACAGGCCUAUGUAGCUGCUGGUUUUCAUCUAGUUAUAGUUCUUCCCUAACACAGGCUUUAAUAACAUAGCAUGCAGUGUUGCAGUUGCUAGCACUGAUUUGAUUAUUUAAGUCUUUCAUAAGCAUACACCUUAUACACAGAUCAGUGUUCAGUGUGCUGAAGCUUUUAAGGCGUUUUAAUACUGCAAAAACUGAAACUUCAGGGUAUCCAUUUCCCUCCCUAAAUAGUACCUGCUGAUGCCUUACCAACUGUAUGCAAAAAUCAAGGUGUAGUCAAGAGAAGAGCUCACCUUCUCAAAAGUCUACGUUCGUGAGCAACAAUUAGAACUUAUGCUCAGAUAACAGCUCUGGAGUAAGCAGAAUUCCUAUGCAUUCAACAGUAAAGUUGUAAGUAAGGAUUCCCCUCGUCUCCCAUCAGUGAUGUCUCAUAUCAAAAAUCACAAUUUACAGUGGGAUUUUUUACACUAAUUACUGUUAAAACUUCUUUUAAUAUGGUCUUGAUUUCACUUCAGUAGUCUGAGCGGUGUUUUCCUGUAAAAUUCACUUCCUUAUUUUGUAGAAAGUAAAGUCAAUUCACCAUAGGAGUUGCAUAAAAUUCUUUUAUUGAGUAAAUCAAGUGUGUACACUUCAAUGAAUAGACAAUUUCCAUUAACAUACUAAGUAUGUUUAUAAUAUCUAGGAUUCUGUCUUGCCAGAACUCUAAAAACUGGCUGCUGUAAGCAUAAAGCAUUAAUCUUCCAAGUUGAUCAGCAGUUAAGGGUCUCUGUAUCCCACAGCAGAGCACAUCUGGAUGAAGCCCUACCAGAACAAUGGUGGUACUGCACUGUAAUUACAUGAAAGGAUUAUCUACUUCUCAACAUACAACCCCACAGCAGAUGUGCAGUCAUUCACUUUGAAAAUGCUCCUGUAGGACUGCAAGUAUUCCAUGACAGAGCAUGACUUUUUGGGAGAACCUAUUCCUGCCUGCAGGAACCCACCAGCUUUCAGGUGAGUUUUAAGUUGAUCCUUGGAAACUUCACAAAGCCAAAGGAAGGUGCAUUAUAGCCGCCUGUUUGUAAGUAUGUAGCAUUAGUACUUAACUGAACGUUAAGAAGUAUGUAACACCUCCAUCCUAAUUGUAGGGAAUCUGAUCUUACUCUUGGAAUUUUUCUUCAGUAUCUUUGUAAGUUAUCACAACACCAAUGUCAACAAAAUGACAUGUGUGCCCUGAAAUGCAGCAUUUCACAAUACCAAAUUCCAGUUAAUAGUACUAUGCUCAAGUCUGUACCAAAUUUGCUGAGACACCAGUUUCAUUAAACCUCAAUAUGCUUAGAAACAGCUUCACUUCUCUUCACAUACCAAAGCUGCAGAGGUUAGGAUGGAGCCAAAAUGGUCCUGGUGUUAUAAUAAAGCCCUAAGAAAGGCAGCAGGUUGUAUAGUUACCUCCUUGUGAGCAAAAUCCCUGCCCUAAAACUAUGCAACCCACUACCUCUUCCUAGGAGCCCAAUGCUUCCUUUCUGCAGUUCUUCUUGCUUAGCAGCUGCUCUGUGAAGCCAGCUUAGCUUACCAGCUGCUUUUGGUCUUCUGCAUUUUUAGGCCAGGGCAUGUACUAGAAGUUUACAGUUAGCACUGUUUAAUAAGUGGUUAACCAGUAACACUCCUGGCUUAAGUACUCAUUAAUGGCUCCAUUUUCACUCUUACUACGCUAAACUUUCAGUCAUCAGAAUGUUUUCAUGCUUUUUGUUCCUUGUUGUUAUAGGAAGAUGUUAGGUGGUCACCCUAGGGCAGAAGCAGCUAGAUGGGGGUACACCUAGCGCUAAUGGGGUAUAAAGAACACAAUCUUUAAAUGCCUUCUUAUAAAAUCAGUAACCUCUUCAGACAGAAGUUACAAUUCUGGAUCUUGAGCACUCAAAUUUCAUAGCUUUACAUUCUCCUAAACAGUUGAAGGGAUCAAUUUUGGCCAUUCAACACUUUAAUCUUUGUAUUACAUUGUUUAAGUCUCUCUGGCUAGAAGAGCUAGAGAAAAAUAAGCAGGCGUAUUAAUGAAGUAUGACUGUAAGUCUCCCAGCUUCUACAGAACAGUGAUGGAAUGUUAAUGUAUUACAGAAAUUAAAACAGUUUAUGUCACCAUGUAUAAGCUUGAGCCAAGACUACUUUUAGGUUCAAAACCAAAUCGUUUUAGAAUGAUUUCCAGUCUAUGGUGUAUUCAGUUCUGUAUCUAUAAGAGAUGCAUUGUUGAUGUCCAGACAGUGCUGUGCCACUCACCUUGAAAGAAAAGUUGUAUUAGUUCCAUAAGGUUUGGGAUUUGCACCAUUCAAACUGAUCGUUAAUUAAGGACAGAAUUUACAGGAUUAAUGUGACACUCUCCAACCCUAAACUUAUCUGACAAGUAAACUUUUACUCAAUGUGGAAACAAACAACAGCAAAGGACCGCAGUUUGUUUUACUCCUCAGGGAAGGCAAUAGAUUGUAUAGUUAUCUCCUGAACAGGGUAAAAUAACUACCCUACAACUAUACAAUCUACUACCUCACUCUGACAGAGAAGCAUGUACUUAAGCUCUUUGCUGAAGUAGCUAACCACAGUCUCAUUCUCGAGUAUUAAUAUUUGAUGCUUCAGUUAGCAGUGUUAACACAACUUAUUAGAACAUCAACCGUUUGUAUUCGAUUACCCCACCUUAAAGGAAUCAAUCUGUUCUUACGUGUUAUCCUUAGAGAAGAUAAAUUAAUGUAGAGAAUUAGAAAAAAUCCAGAAGUAAUUACCUGUAGGCGUUGCAGAAAUAUUUGCCUGCUAUAAUAAACACUCCGAGUACAGAAGUUUGGGACAAUCUGACACUGUGCUUAAAACUGAACGGUCUCCGUUGUUGAUUUUCUGCUGCUUUAGGAAAGACAGUAGAUUGUAUAGUUAUCUCCCAGUUGCGGGUAUGACCCUAAAACUAUACAACCUACUACCUCAUCCCACAGUGCAGGCAUCUUCAGAGGUGAUGUCCAAAGAAUGGUGCUUUAAUAAAGACAGCUUAAGCUAACUGCAGGCACUUACAGUGUGCUAUGCUGGUCACAGGAAAAAAACAUUCCCAUCUCUCUCCACUCAUGCAAUGAUGUUACUGUAAGGAUAAGAUUCCUUCGUUUCAAAAGUUUACCAACUGUUUGGGUCUUAAUGUAUUUAACCUUUAGACAGUUAGCAAGCUGCAGCAGUCAUAGCAACUGUAGUCAUUAAACUUGUCUGUUACAGGAAAAAUACUAUUAGCGUUCCACAGAUGUCAUCUCUUAUCUGAAAUUGUAAGAAAAUGUCCAUGAGAAACAUCAUAUGCAGAUCUGCAUUUCUUCAGAAGUUAAUAGUAAUAAAAUCUAGGACCAUAACCAUGCAGCUGAUUUACAUGGAUCAGUAUAAGACCCUAAUAUUUAUAAUUCUUAAGAAAUCACUGUUUUUUAUUCUACUUAAUCACUAUUUUAAAAACAUUAUUAAAAAUAAACUUAUUAAGGUCUUAUAAUACGACAUUAAUUGUUAAACUGCCUUACCAAAAGGCCACUUAAAAUAUACAUUGCCUUUAGAUCAGAAACAACUGGGCUCCUCUGACUGCUCCUGAUAGAGCUUUAAAGCUGAUUUCUAUGUUACCAGAGCUCAACAUGACCUCAAGCUAAAAAGUCUAACAAUAUUGAAAUCAAAAUACUUGCCAGACUGAUGUGACUUACAGUCCCCUUCUUAGCAAGGACGUCUUGAGAACAGAGCUGAAGAGGAAAACUCAUCAUUUUAUCAAUGUAAUUUAUAAGAUAGCUGAAAGUGUUUACGGAAAUGCACAGAUUUUCAAACGUUAAAUACACGUUGUACUCAUACUUCAUCCCAAUUCUGAGCUGAGGUUUUCAGACCAGUCAUCAAACAAAGCCUUGAUAGAACAAGAGCUCCUAAUGCAUGUUAAUGUCCUUGCCAAAAAACACAACGCGUGAUCCAAUGCAUUAAUAUACAAAGGGAUGACGUUAUUCCUUGAACAGAGAAAAAAAUAGAAGUACUCUCCAGCCCCCUCAGAGCUUUACUCCAGAAUCCUUUGUACAAAUAUUGAUGACAAAUUUUGGUGAAUCACACUUAAAGUCUUGCUUGUAACCACUCACAGAUCAGAAUGUGUGCUUUAGCAUGCACAGAUGGACAUAAGCAGUUGGUCCUACAAAACACAAAUAAAUUACAACAGUAGCACUGGGACAAAGGCAAAUGACAGGGAAGCACUGGCACGUAUCGCAUCCUUUGAAUUAGCUCAGUUAGCCAUCCUGCUGUCAAGCAAAUAUUUGGUAAGGAUGCUGACAGUCCUUUCACAGUUCCUUAUUCCUACAUGCCAACCUUCCCCAGCUGAGCAGAGUUCAUGCAAGGAGCCCAUUCCUCCAUGGGAGAGGCACUGCUGAGCCUCUGCCCAGCCAGCCUUGCUACAGAGAGCGCUGGCUUGCUGUUUUCAGUUUGUCAUUUAUCCAUGAAGUCCAAGACAUUUCAAUUCAGGUCGAUCUUUAAGAUGAAGCUGCUGCUUCUCCAAUGUGCUGAAAAUGUUUUAAGUGCUUUGGAAAAACUAAAUAGAUGUUACUGUACAAAAAAAAAGAGGUACUUAAAAGAAUGUAAAACUUAUAAAAUACAUAGGAUACUUUUGAGUUUCCUGUUUUAAAAUGAACCCAGGAGGACGCUAAGAUUACAGAACAGAUUCUAAUCUGUAGCAUUUUGCCACCCCUAGAUGGCGUGAACUAAAAGCCUAAACAGCUUUUAAUGUUAUUAUUGCUACUGACAGGAGGACUUCUCAAUUAAGUUCUGUUACAGGAAAUUCUAACCUAUUUUCUACUGCCACCGUGAGACUUUCCUGUUAGGUACGUGCAGCUCCUGAAGCAUUUGUCUGCUUUUGGUUUCCAGAAACAUGAGCCUUUCAUCUAUUACAGGUCUGGAAGGGCUCUCUCUUACUUAAGGUCAAAAAUGUCCUUGAAAAAAUAUUUUGAAUGACAUCCAAUUGUUACCUUGUGGUUCUAUGCAACAGUCUGGCUUGAGAUCGAUGGUGAAGUGCACACAGGGCACCAGGAAAACCUCAUUCUGCAACAAAUACACCUUGGGAGAGAUCAUCACGUAUCCUGCUUUUUAGCUACAGAAGAAAAGCAGUUUUAUUGAUGGUACAUUACUCUGAAUUUCAGUAGCGUCACCUGCACUGGAGCUGUACUUGGACUCCCACUGCCACUUUUGGUGAGGGAAUUUCUGCCACCUCCUCCAGCCCCCUGUGAAGACCCCACACACCCACCUUCCACAGUGAGUACGUGCAGACCUGCAAACUUGCUUUUUUUUUUGACUGGGGGUGUUGGGGGAUUGCAGGCACAACACUGUGAUUGAUGCAAACUUAAUUAUCCUCCACGUUGCUUCCCCUCGGCUGCCCCUAUACUGCUGUCACACACUACGUCCAUAUCUCAUCACUCCUUCCAGAAGAGUCUAAGAUCACGUAAUUACUGAAACAAAAGCUUUAGUCAGUGUGAGUUAAGAACUCUUUCUAUUCUCAAUUCAGUUUUGGAUUGUACUUUCCUUUAAUACUGUGCUCAUCUUGAUGGAGCCUCAUUCCUACUGAGCAUCCAAGAGAAGUGACAAAGUAGAACCUAAAGAGGCGCUGCCUUUCUGAAGAGUGCUUCCCAUGAGUUUCCUGAGCUACUGUAUGUAUUUGAAACCUCUGAAACAGUUCUAAACUGUAUAGGGAAAAAAACUGCUGGCGUUUACACGUUCUCAUUUAGUAGCACACAGUACACCACCAGCAUUCUUAAUCAGUCUGUAACCUGUGAAACAGAAGGAAAAAUAGCUCAAGCCACCCUUACAGCGUGGAAGGGACAAAAUGUGACUUUGUGAAAGUAAUCAAAGUCCCAUUUUGUUUCAGUGUGACCCUAAAAGAUGGAUGUUUUAUCCUCCCACUUGAUUUUGUCAAUUUUGCAGCACAGAAUUAAUAACCCGAAGCUGAAAGGGUGUUUGUAGAAGCAACACUUCUUAUCCUAACUGUGCUUUACUGACAUCUGUUGUUACGUGGUGUGGAGAUAAACAGAUGCAUCAAUUUGAGGUAUAUAAUGCUGCAGUACAUCCUUCAACAAAAAGACCAUUUGGCAACCAUUUGUAAACAGCUUGUUACCAAAGACUAUUUCACUCUCAUGUUUAAAUUCAACUUUAAAAAUCUCAGUGGAUAAAAUUAAGUACAGCAGAAAAGAUGAAGCUUUAAGGUUAAAACAAACAAAAAUCGUGUGUGAUGGUUAGGACUAAACCAGAUGAGUUUCUUUUUUUCCUUUGUGCCAAACAAAUUCACCUACAGUGAAAAUAGGCCCCAUGCAAGAAAGCAAACAUGCUUUAAUUAGAACAUAAGAUGUGGUGAUGAAGGCCAGAAGCCUUUCUAAGAGUCAUCUGCUUAAGCCCAAAACCUUAAAACUUAGUAUUAUUAGUAUUUAUUUGGUAUGUAUGUAUCUAAUUUUUAGUAUUUAUUUGGACACUGUAGUCAAUUUAGCAGCAAUACAUUGGAGUAAGUGUAAAAGUGCGCGCCAUACAAAUCACAGAUAGGCUUUAACUCCAAAUAUGAGCAGCACCGAAAUGCAUGCAGCUGGCAGGGCUGAGUGUCCACUACAUUAAUACCUCUGAGUGUCAUCAGCGAUGCCUUUAUCUCGUGUCUCUGCCAGAAAUGCCAAGCUUUUUCCAAAAACCUACAUCCCACUUACAUGUAAUUGCUUUAAGAUAAAGCAGCCUGGUUUCGACUAAUUAUAACGUGAAAUAUUACUGGUUUGUUCCAUUUGCAGUUAUUAUGUUUGAUUUUCAUUUAUUUUUCUGACCACGUCGUUACAGAAGGAAUAUAAAUCUCCAGAAACACGGCUUGAAAGAAAUUAGGAGUCACUACUGCCCACUCAUGCAUGGAAUGAAGCACAUCUCCUGCAGAAAAGUAAAGUAUGUGAUCAUGAUUAAUAAUUUUGAACGUGAGCAAAGAAUGACAGGAAUGCAAAUUGGAGCAACUUCCUCUGCAUGUACUCAGUUUUCACGUUAAUAUUAAACUAUCUGCAUCUAAGUGAGCAUUCAUUCUUUAGUUCUCAAAGCAAACUACACAGAUGAAUGCUACGUAUUCUAUUCUAAAUUUAACCCCUUCUCUGCUAUUCAAAACUAAGCCCUAUUGAUGCAUUUCAGUUACUUAUCGUUUAGAAAUUGCCUCUUGUUAUGCCCAUAAACCCAACACUGCUCCAGUGAGAUUCCUGGUGUUGUUUUUUAAACUGUUUGGUGUUUGAUAGAAACCAAAAAAAAGGAGGAAAAA